GGGCUUCGACUCACUCCCAACCCCUGUGACAUACCACUUGUUGCCUCGGCGGAUCAGCCCGCUCCCGGUAAAACGGGACGGCCCGCCAGAGGACCCCUAAACUCUGUUUCUAUAUGUAACUUCUGAGUAAAACCAUAAAUAAAUCAAAACUUUCAACAACGGAUCUCUUGGUUCUGGCAUCGAUGAAGAACGCAGCAAAAUGCGAUAAGUAAUGUGAAUUGCAGAAUUCAGUGAAUCAUCGAAUCUUUGAACGCACAUUGCGCCCGCCAGUAUUCUGGCGGGCAUGCCUGUUCGAGCGUCAUUUCAACCCUCAAGCACAGCUUGGUGUUGGGACUCGCGUUAAUUCGCGUUCCUCAAAUUGAUUGGCGGUCACGUCGAGCUUCCAUAGCGUAGUAGUAAAACCCUCGUUACUGGUAAUCGUCGCGGCCACGCCGUUAAACCCCAACUUCUGAAUGUUGACCUCGGAUCAGGUAGGAAUACCCGCUGAACUUAAGCAUAUCAAUAAGCCGAAGGAA
rnacentral:rRNA from 1 species